CAACCUGGUUGAUCCUGCCAGKGAAGCACACUCCAUAGAUUAAGCCWUGCAAGUGUUAGUUCAGCUUUACAGCAAWACUGCGAACAGCUCAUUAAUACGCUCAGAAUCUAUUUGGCGGCAAUCAUAAGGUUUUAAAGGGAUAUCAGCAGUAAUUCUGGUGUUAAUACCUGCGAUUGUUUCACCGGACGUGAAUUACGGUGGAAAAGUUGACCGCAAGGCACGCCAUUCGAUUGAGCGACCUAUCAGCUUGUACUUAGGGUCUUUACCUAGGUAGGCUAUCACGGGUAACGGGCGGUUACCGUCGGACUGCCGGAGAAGGCGCCUGAGAGAUAGCGACUAUAUCCACGGGUAGCAGCAGGCGCGAAACUUACCCACUCGAGACAUUCGGAGGUGGUAAUGACCAGUUCCAAGUCGGCUUCGCAAGAGGCUAUUUGGAUAGGAUGCAAGUUUUCCACUUGCGUGCAACCUAGCAGAGGGCCAGUCUGGUGCCAGCAGCUGCGGUAAUUCCAGCUCUGCGAGUUUGCUCCCAUAUUGUUGCAGUUAAAACGCCCGUAGUCUGAACUAUUUAAAAUCGCCCUCGUGGCGUUCACUGCGAACAAAUCAGGACGCUUAGAGUAUGGUUACAAGAAUGACUCAGCGCAGUAUGAUAUUUUUACCCAUGGUAAGAUCAAAGAGAGCCAUCGGGGAUAGAUCUAUUUCAUGGCGAGCGGUGGAAUGCGUUGACCCAUGAGAGAGGAACGACGGCGAAGRCAUCUAUCCAGCGGGUUUCUGUCGAUCAAGGGCGAGAGUAGGAGUAUCGAACCGGAUUAGAGACCCGGGUAGUUCCUACCUUAAACGAUGCCGACAGGGACUUGUCCUUUCUAUAAGGGCAGGACGUUCGGAGAAAUCAUAGUUCAUGGGCUCUGGGGGAACUACGACCGCAAGGCUGAAACUUGAAGGAAUUGACGGAAGGGCACACCAGGGGUGGAGCUUGUGGCUUAAUUUGAAUCAACACGGGGAAACUUACCAGGACCAGGUGUUUUGUAUGACUGACAGGCCAACGGUCUUUCAGGAUUUGACUUUGGGUGGUGCAUGGCCGUUGGUGGUGCGUGGGUUGACCUGUCUAUAGUUGAUUCAGAUAACGAGCGAGAUUAUCACCAAUUAAUACGACAUCGUUCGCUUGAACGGGUCGAUCUAAUUGGGACUCCCUGUGUCUAAAUAGGAGGAAGAGGGUAGCAAUAACAGGUCCGUGAUGUCCUUCAGAUGCUCUGGGCUGCACGCGCGCUACAAUGUUAGGRUCAAAGAGAUUUAACUUCGAAAGAAGACAGUAYUCUCAGAAUGCCUAACGUAGUUGGGAUUGACGGUUGUAAUCACCGUCAUGAACCAGGAAUCCCUUGUAAAUGCGUGUCAACAACGCGCGUUGARUACGUCCCUGCCCUYUGUACACACCGCCCGUCGCUCCUACCGAUUGAAUGAUUCGGUGAAAUUACUGGAUCUUUCGGGAAAAGGUAAUUAAAUCAAAUUAUUUAGAGGAAGGAGAAGUCGUAACAAGGUAACGGUAGGUGAACCUGCAGAAGGAUC
rnacentral:rRNA from 1 species